UACGUAGGGUCCGAGCGUUGUCCGGAGUUACUGGGCGUAAAGCGCGCGCAGGCGGUCCCGCGCGCCGGCGUGAAAGCCCCCCGGCUCAACCGGGGGAGGGUCGUCGGGGACGGCGGGACUUGAGGGCGGUAGGGGCCGGUGGAAUCCCUGGUGUAGUGGUGAAAUGCGUAGAGAUCAGGGGGAACACCCGUGGCGAAGGCGGCCGGCUGGGCCGACCCUGGACCGCUGAGGCGCGAAGGCGUGGGGAGCGAACGGGAUUGAGAU
rnacentral:rRNA from 1 species